AACGAACGUUGGCGGCGUGGAUUAGGCAUGCAAGUCGAACGCGAAUCCCUGGGCAACUGGGGAGGAGAGUGGCGAAAGGGGCAGUAAGGCGUGGGUAACCUACCCUCCGGGCCGGGAUAGCUUCGGGAAACUGAAGGUAAUACCGGGCGACGCAGCGAGAUCGCAUGGUCUUGCUGCCAAAGGUCCGCCGCCGGGGGAGGGGCUCACGUGGUAUUAGCUAGACGGCGGGGUAACGGCCCACCGUGGCAAAGAUGCCUAGCAGGUGUGAGAGCACGACCUGCGCCACUGGCACUGAGACACGGGCCAGACACCUACGGGUGGCUGCAGUCGAGGAUCUUCGGCAAUGGGCGCAAGCCUGACCGAGCGACGCCGCGUGUGCGAUGAAGGCCUUCGGGUUGUAAAGCACUGUCGAGGGGGAGGAAGCCGCAAGGUUGACCUAUCCCUGGAGGAAGCACGGGCUAAGUUCGUG
rnacentral:rRNA from 1 species